ACUCCUACGGGAGGCAGCAGUGGGGAAUAUUGCGCAAUGGGCGAAAGCCUGACGCAGCGACGCCGCGUGAGGGACGAAGGCCUUCGGGUUGUAAACCUCUUUCAGCAGGGACGAAGCGAAAGUGACGGUACCUGCAGAAGAAGCGCCGGCUAACUACGUGCCAGCAGCCGCGGUAAUACGUAGGGCGCAAGCGUUGUCCGGAAUUAUUGGGCGUAAAGAGCUCGUAGGCGGCUUGUCACGUCGGAUGUGAAAGCCCGGGGCUUAACCCCGGGUCUGCAUUCGAUACGGGCUAGCUAGAGUGUGGUAGGGGAGAUCGGAAUUCCUGGUGUAGCGGUGAAAUGCGCAGAUAUCAGGAGGAACACCGGUGGCGAAGGCGGAUCUCUGGGCCAUUACUGACGCUGAGGAGCGAAAGCGUGGGGAGCGAACAGGAU
rnacentral:rRNA from 1 species